AGGGAUUGGAGCUGCUUGGAACACCGCAAACGUGCAAGCCGGAUCAAGCGUGGCCAUCUUUGGUUUGGCUGCUGUGGGGCUUGCUGUAGCAGAAGGAGCACGGUUAAGAGGAGCUUCACGAAUCAUAGGCAUCGACAUCAAUCCUGAUAAAUUUAUCAAAGGU